GGUGAGAUAUCCAAGCGGCUAAAGGGUGCAGACUGUAAAUCUGUCGGGCAUUGCCCUUCGGGGGUUCGAAUCCCUCUCUCACCACCA
rnacentral:tRNA from 1 species